CCAUCCGAGGAGCGUUGCAGCGCACCCCCGACCCCCCGGUCGGCGCGGUUCGUGAGGCUCGGACAUCCAUGCAACGACGCUCAUCCACU
rnacentral:ncRNA from 2 species